CAGAACAAGCAGGAGAGACGGCGACGAGGGCAAGUGGCUGAGAGGCUAUGGGGCUGGGCAGGGGGCAAUGGGGAGUCACAUGAGGUGCCUCUGGGGUGCCCCUCCAGGCAGUGGGGCCCCAGACAACUGUCUCCCCUUGCCCUAUCAUUGUUACGCGCCUGUACAAAACCAUCAGUUGUGUCUUAAUCUUUCCCACUACCAAGUCUGACACGUUUGGGUAAAGCUGGCUUUGUUUGUACGCAUGUGGACGAAGGAUGAUGUAGCUGGGCCAGCUGGAGAAGCAUCAUUCGAACCAGCCCUUUGGCUCCAGCUAUCCCUCCGAGUUUUGUGUCAUUUGCAAAUGUGAUGAGGAGGGAUUCCUUCCACCCCAUCAUCCAAAUCAUCGAAACCAAUGCUGAAAAGUACUAGAUCCAAGAGAAAACGCUGAUACCUCACUUGAAACCUCCCUCCAGUUUGAUGAGGAGCCAUUGAUGAGUAGUCCCCACUGCCACUCCAGUCACACAUUUUCAUUAUAACAACCAAACAAGAAUCUAUACAAGGGGAAACAAGAAAUAUGGAUAAAUGUUAUACUGAAUUUCAUAUUCCAAUGGGCAAUAAACAAAAACCAU